GAUUAACGCUGGCGGCGUGCCUAAUGCAUGCAAGCCGAACGGCUCGAUUUAUCGAGCAGUGGCAAACGGGUGAGUAACACGUAAGAACCUACCCUCAAGUGGGGGAUAACCCCGAGAAAUCGGGGCUAAUACCGCAUACGCUCUCUGAUUCUGUCAGGGAGGAAAGUUGAGGCGCUUGAGGACGGGCUUGCGUCCGAUUAGCUUGUUGGUGAGGUAAUGGCUCACCAAGGCUGAGAUCGGUAGCUGGUCUUAGAGGAUGAUCAGCCACACUGGGACUGAGAUACGGCCCAGACUCCUACGGGAGGCAGCAGCAGGGAAUAUUGCGCAAUGGGUGAAAGCCUGACGCAGCAACGCCGCGUGGGGGAUGAAGGCCCUCGGGUCGUAAACCCCUUUUCUCAGGGAAGAU
rnacentral:rRNA from 1 species